AACCGAUCUAUCCUGGGGCUAUAAAGUCGUACGCUGGGUCCCCUCUCCCUUUCCAUCUCCGUAUCCCGACCGCCGUCCACAAGAGAGAAAGGAAGCAGCGUCGCCAUGGUGAAUUUGUGCCGUCGCCACUUGUUCACCAUCGAUUGGUCAGCCGAAGGAAUUCACCAGAGACCGGAGAUCCUCCUCGCGCUAAAAGGCUACGCCAGGGGGGUAUCACACUUGGCCAAUUGCUCACCGACGAGCAAGUGACUGAGGAACCCGAAGCACCGCAAGUUGAAGAUUCUGAGCAGGAGCUCGCUGAAAGCAAGUUGUGCCCUUGAUCACAUUCUUUGAACCAAUAAUGUUCUUGUUUCUAAUAAUCACUAUGACAUGCUUAGGUUAACUUGAUGGGACCUAAUAGGUUACCUAUUUUUGUUUGCCCCAUACUUUGCAUAGAAAUGAAUUAUUUGGUAGUCUUGCUAUUGCUCUACCUUGUUUUGGGUUAAUGUUACUUAUGAUUCAC
rnacentral:misc_RNA from 1 species